UACCGUACUAUUGUCUUGUGGUAGUUAAAGUUUUCUGACGAUUGUCAUAAUCCUUAAAUUGGGACGGAAAAGUUAAUUUUACAUUUUUAUCCYUUCGUUAACUCUCACUUAGAUCGAAUCAUUUUGCAAAUUACGUUUUUACCCUUCCUUAACGAAGGAUCUAAACACACUCCUCCGAUCUGCGGUUUGCUGUGAAACCUUUCUCAGCCUUCUCGUCUGCAUCUUCUCCCACUGUCACCUGUAAUCCGCGCAGGUGUGCCCGCAUCACUGAAUGGACGAGAAAGAAAGGAGGGAUUGAGAUUUCAGAGUGUUUGUUUGGUGGGUUCCCCUUUCUCAACUGGAGUACUGAUUGCGUAACUGCAGAUUGCCCAUCUCGUCAAUCUGCUCAAAACAAAUCGGCAUCUAGUGUCGAGGCAGCAACUAUUGGGGGUUUGGGGAAAAGGCCAGUGUCGAGGCAGCAACCGUUCCACUCCCUGUCUUUGGCCCCAUCUUCGUCCCCUUUCGACGGCCAACCUAUCUCUAAUAUCUGCACCUGCAUUGACGAGGAAAGAGGAGCCAGUGCAACAAAAAACAGAAACUACGAGAUUUGAACCCAGAAAGAGCUGAAAACGGAGAAACCAAAAGAAAAAAAAAAAAGGCUUGUUUUGCUUCUACAUUGUUCUCAGGAAAAUUGAACCUUUUUCUGAAAAA